UGCAAUCCUCAUAAUACAUUUAUGGCAGAAUCUUAAAGAUUUUGAUACAACAGUUCAUCAUUAAACAAUACCAUCAUCCAAUGCAACCUAUGAAAAAAGAAGGCUAAUAGAUUAAAAUGUCUUGAGGAAGGCCACUUUCUAAUCCACUUCUCGACUUGAAUGAGGAGAAAUAUUAUUAUACCCCCAUCCGUAUCAGGAUACAUGACAAGCAAGAAAGACACUCAAAUAGUAAGCCAACUACCGUCAAAUCGAGAAGUCACCAACAAGCCUCUCUUUCGGAACGACCAUCCGGACACAUACGAGUCAUCCGCCAUUCGAGUCCCUAAGCUUUCAUUGAGAAUGUGAUAUUGUUGGUCACCAAAUACCACGUGGGUUCAAUUGCUCUUUACCAUCAAGUCAGAAUGAAUGACAGGAUUUGUUCCAUCACAAACAUUAUUGUCCUAUCGAAGACAUCCACCCCAUGCAUUCCACAAUGAUAGUUUAAUUGCAAGUUCAACACAUUAACAUCAUCCUACACGAGAUCCUCGCCUAUAAAUACCGUUAGGAACAAUGAAGAAAGGAUCGACACUCCAAGAAUACCAAGACUAUAGUCUAUUAACUUACCUUCAGCUCUCAAUCUUAACACUCUCCUCACCUUCGUUCUUUGUAACCUUCAUCUCUUCAUCCUGAUUAGGUG
rnacentral:lncRNA from 1 species